rnacentral:rRNA from 1 species
AUUGGCUUUUCUUGGAAGAUUGGUAAUGUCAAGAGGGCUAGAUUCUGGGAGGAUCAUUGGUUUGGCAAUGCUACUUUGGCUACCCAGUAUUGGGAUGUUUAUAACCUAGCUAAUGAGCAUAAUGCCACCAUAGAUAAAAUCUGGGAUGGCUAUACCUUG